rnacentral:tRNA from 1 species
GUUUAAAUAGUUUAAUAAAAAUACUGGUUUGUGGCAUCAGUGAUAUAAUUCUUUAUUUUAGACA